CCUACGGGUGGCUGCAGUGAGGAAUAUUGGUCAAUGGUCGCGAGACUGAACCAGCCAAGUCGCGUGAAGGAUGAAUGCCCUGAGUGUUGUAAACUUCUUUUAUCAGGGAAUAAAGUGUGGCACGCGUGCCUUUUUGUGUGUACUUUAUGAAUAAGGAUCGGCUAACUCCGUGCCAGCAGCCGCGGUAAUACGGAGGAUGCGAGCGUUAUCCGGAUUUAUUGGGUUUAAAGGGAGCGUAGACGGGUUGUUAAGUCAGGUGUGAAAGUUUGCGGGUCAACCGUAAAAGUGCAAUUGAUACUGGCAGUCUUGAGUACAGGUGAGGUAGGCGGAAUGCGUGGUGUAGCGGUGAAAUGCUUAGAUAUCGCGAAGAACUCCGAUUGCGAAGGCAGCAUACUA
rnacentral:rRNA from 1 species